UGGGGAAUAUUGGACAAUGGGCGGAAGCCUGAUCCAGCAAUGCCGCGUGUGUGAAGAAGGCCUGAGGGUUGUAAAGCACUUUCAGUGGGGAGAAAGAGGCCGUUGUUAAUAGCAAUGGCGGAUGAUGUUACCCACAGAAGAAGCACCGGCUAACUCUGUGCCAGCAGCCGCGGUAAUACAGAGGGUGCGAGCGUUAAUCGGAAUUACUGGGCGUAAAGGGUGCGUAGGUGGUUUUGUAAGUUAGAUGUGAAAUUCCUGGGCUUAACCUGGGGACUGCGUCUGAUACUGCGAAGCUAGAGUACUGUAGAGGGAAGUGGAAUUUCCGGUGUAGCAGUGAAAUGCGUAGAUAUCGGAAGGAACAUCAGUGGCGAAGGCGACUUCCUGGACAGAUACUGACACUGAGGCACGAAAGCGUGGGGAGCAAACAG
rnacentral:rRNA from 1 species